rnacentral:rRNA from 1 species
AUACCGGCGGCUCGAGUGGUGGCCGCUUUUAUUGGGCUUAAAGCGUUCGUAGCUGGGUCGUUAAGUCUCUUGGGAAAUCCGGCAGCUCAACUGUCGGGCGUCUAAGAGAUACUGGCGAUCUUGGAACCGGGAGAGGUGAGGGGUACUUCGGGGGUAGGAGUGAAAUCCUGUAAUCCUCGAGGGACCACCUGUGGCGAAGGCGCCUCACCAGAACGGGUUCGACGGUGAGGGACGAAAGCUGGGGGCAC